rnacentral:misc_RNA from 1 species
AAAAAAGCAGCACCUAUGGUUGAUUCCUGAAAUUCAACAAACUGCCCUUUGACAAAACGCAACACAAGACUAGACUUUCCGGCACCAACAUCCCCAAGAAGCACCAAUUUUGCAUUGAUGUUCUUGUUUCCGGCGGUGGCCAUCAGCUUGAAUAGUAGUGAAGAUCAGAUCAAGAGAAUAUGAGACGAAUUUCCUCUCGAAAUUCAGAUUACAAGAAAGGCGUUGAAGAGAAGGAAGGAGGGAGUGAAGAAAAAAAAGGGAAGAAGAACUUUGAUCAAAGCCUUCCUCUUAUUUAUUUUUGUGCAAGGGAAACCGAAGACUCACAGCUACA